rnacentral:rRNA from 1 species
GAUGAACGCUGGCGGCGUGCCUAAUACAUGCAAGUCGAGCGAACAGACGAUGAUCUUGCUCCUCUGACGUUAGCGUCGGACGGGUGAGUAACACGUGUAUAACCUACCUAUAAUACUUGGAUAACUUCGGGAAACCGGAUCUAAUACCGGAUAAUAUCUUUAACCUCCUUGUUCAAUAGUUAAAUACGUUUUUGCUUUCUCUUAUAGAUUGAUCCGCGCCGCAUUAGCUAGUUGGUAAGGUAACGGCUUACCAAGGCAACGAUGGGUAUCCGACCUGAGAGGGUGAUCGGACAAACUGGAACUGAGACACGGUACAGACGACUACGGGAGGAAGCAGUAGGGAAUAUUCCGCAAUGGGCGAAAGCAUGAAGGAGCAAAGCCGAGUGAGUGAUGAAGGUCUUCGGAUCGUAAAAAUCUGUUAUUAGGGAAGAAAAAAUGUGUAAGUAACUAUGCACGUCAUGACGGUACCGAAUCAGAAAGCAACGGCUAACUACGUG